rnacentral:lncRNA from 1 species
CUCACGUCAAGAUCUUUCCCAGACUGAAAAGCACCUUGGGCCUUCUCUGCUGACUCUUCUACUUAUAUUAAGGAAUUCUGAUACCUCUCCCGGACUUACACUCUUACCUGGCAUGACGUCUAUGUCCUUCUGUCCUCCCCCUUACCCCUCAUGAGUGAGCCCACAUCCAGCAGCCUGCAUAAGAUCAUCCUGAUUAAAUUUGUUUAACAGAUAUGACUCUCCCCACAGGUGAAGCAGCCAUUCCCCUAACCGAACCCAACUGGGACUAUCAAGAUGGCCAACUAGGUCGCCGACCUUAUAGCAGCAAUGCAGGCAGUGGUUAACCUUGAUAAGCUGAGAGAAAUCACAGAGGAUCCAGAUGAGAGCCUUAUUUCUCAACCGCCUUAUGGAGGCCCUCACCAAAUAUACUAAACUGGAUCCUGAGACUCCCUCUGGGGCUACAGUGUGAGCAACCCAUUUCAUUAUUACUCAAUCGGCCCAUGAUAUUAGAAAAAAGCUCAAACGAGCUGAAGAGGGCCUUCAGUCCCCUAUCUGAGAUCUGUAAAGAUGGCCUUUAAAGUUUAUCAUGUCCGGAAGGAGUCAGCUGAACUAGCCAAGUAGGCUCCAUUGCAGAAAAAGGUAACACUCCAAACCCAGGCCUUGGCAGCGACCCUGAGGCCUAUGGCUCAAGCAAGAGCUCCACAGGGGACCCAGCAUUCCUCUCCACCAGGGGGGCUUGCUUCAAAUGUGGAUGCGAAGGUCACUGGGCUCGCUAAUACCUAAACCCAAGGCCUCCUUCCAGGCCACGCCUCACUUGUUAGUAGACAGGACAUUGGAAGAGUGACUGCCCCAUGGCUGGCCCUUCCUUGGUGCCUCCAUGUGGGGGUAUGACCAGCCAGGCAGUCCCUUCUCUUGAACUAUUGGGGCUCACAGAAGACUGAAGAAGCCCGACUCAAGGACCCCCAUCACCCUCACCAAGCCCAAGUUAAUGCUCCAGGUAGCGGGUAUCCAUAAAUUUCCUGUGGACACGGGAGCUACCUAUUCUGUCUUGUUCACCCACUCUGGGCCUCUGUUUCAUUCCCAGGUCUCAGUUAUGGAGAUUGACGGCAAACCCUCCUCCCCAAACCGAACUACUAAGCUGGCCUGUACCCUUUCACACACUCUUUUCUGGUCGUUCCAUCCUAUCCGGUUCCUCUCCUAGGCAGAGAUGUUCUCCAAUUACUAGGAGCCACCCUCCAACUACACCCCAAGAAUACUACUAUCUAUCUCUUUCUGUCUCUAAU